rnacentral:sRNA from 1 species
UUCCGGCGGUGCUCGCAAGCGAGGCAGUCAUGUCUUAUCCCGCUGAUGAUUAUGAGUCUGAGGCGGCUUAUGACCCCUACGCUUAUCCCAGCGACUAUGAUAUGCACACAGGAGAUCCAAAGCAGGACCUUGCUUAUGAACGUCAGUAUGAACAGCAAACCUAUCAGGUGAUCCCUGAGGUGAUCAAAAACUUCAUCCAGUAUUUCCACAAAACUGUCUCAGAUUUGAUUGACCAGAAAGUCUAUGAGCUACAGGCCAGUCGUGUCUCCAGUGAUGUCAUUGACCAGAAGGUGUAUGAGAUCCAGGACAUCUAUGAGAACAGCUGGACCAAGCUGACUGAAAGAUUCUUCAAGAAUACACCUUGGCCCGAGGCUGAAGCCAUUGCUCCACAGGUUGGCAAUGAUGCUGUCUUCUUGAUUUUAUACAAAGAAUUAUACUACAGGCACAUAUAUGCCAAAGUCAGUGGGGGACCUUCCUUGGAGCAGAGGUUUGAAUCUUAUUACAACUACUGCAAUCUCUUCAACUACAUUCUUAAUGCCGAUGGUCCUGCUCCCCUUGAACUACCCAACCAGUGGCUCUGGGAUAUCAUCGAUGAGUUCAUCUACCAGUUUCAGUCAUUCAGUCAGUACCGCUGUAAGACUGCCAAGAAGUCAGAGGAGGAGAUUGACUUUCUUCGUUCCAAUCCCAAAAUCUGGAAUGUUCAUAGUGUCCUCAAUGUCCUUCAUUCCCUGGUAGACAAAUCCAACAUCAACCGACAGUUGGAGGUAUACACAAGUGGAGGUGACCCCGAGAGUGUGGCUGGGGAGUAUGGGCGGCACUCCCUCUACAAAAUGCUUGGUUACUUCAGCCUGGUCGGGCUUCUCCGCCUGCACUCCCUGUUAGGAGAUUACUACCAGGCCAUCAAGGUGCUGGAGAACAUCGAACUGAACAAGAAGAGUAUGUAUUCCCGUGUGCCAGAGUGCCAGGUCACCACAUACUAUUAUGUUGGGUUUGCAUAUUUGAUGAUGCGUCGUUACCAGGAUGCCAUCCGGGUCUUCGCCAACAUCCUCCUCUACAUCCAGAGGACCAAGAGCAUGUUCCAGAGGACCACGUACAAGUAUGAGAUGAUUAACAAGCAGAAUGAGCAGAUGCAUGCGCUGCUGGCCAUUGCCCUCACGAUGUACCCCAUGCGUAUCGAUGAGAGCAUUCACCUCCAGCUGCGGGAGAAAUAUGGGGACAAGAUGUUGCGCAUGCAGAAAGGUGACCCACAAGUCUAUGAAGAACUUUUCAGUUACUCCUGCCCCAAGUUCCUGUCGCCUGUAGUGCCCAACUAUGAUAAUGUGCACCCCAACUACCACAAAGAGCCCUUCCUGCAGCAGCUGAAGGUGUUUUCUGAUGAAGUACAGCAGCAGGCCCAGCUUUCAACCAUCCGCAGCUUCCUGAAGCUCUACACCACCAUGCCUGUGGCCAAGCUGGCUGGCUUCCUGGACCUCACAGAGCAGGAGUUCCGGAUCCAGCUUCUUGUCUUCAAACACAAGAUGAAGAACCUCGUGUGGACCAGCGGCAUCUCAGCCCUGGAUGGUGAAUUUCAGUCAGCCUCAGAGGUUGACUUCUACAUUGAUAAGGACAUGAUCCACAUCGCGGACACCAAGGUCGCCAGGCGUUAUGGGGAUUUCUUCAUCCGUCAGAUCCACAAAUUUGAGGAGGUGAGAGAUCUGAGAGAAGAGGG